rnacentral:rRNA from 1 species
CGGUGGAGCAUGUGGUUUAAUUCGAUGAUACGCGAGGAACCUUACCUGGGCUAGAAUGCAGUCUGACCGCCUGUGAAAGCGUUUUCGCAGAUUAAGGUGUGACGAGCGCAACCCCUAUCACUAGUUGCCAUCGGGAUGUCAAGUAUCAUGGCCUUUAUGCCCAGGCUACAUACAUGGCGAGUACAAGGGCAGCUACCUGGUAACAGGAUGCUUCUCAAAAAACUCGUCUCAGUUCGAAUUGGGGUGCAACUCGACCCCAUGAAGCUGGAAUCGCUAGUAAUCGAUAUCAGCAAUGAUACGGUGAAUACGUUCCCGGACCUUGUACACACCGCCGUCAAGCCAUGGAAGCUGGGUGUACCUAAAGUCGGUAACCGCAAGGAGCCGCCUAGGUAAAACUAGUAGCUGGGGCUAAGUCGUACAAGGU